rnacentral:lncRNA from 1 species
UUAAAUACCAAGAAACAUGGAUUAAAAUUAAUAGAAUGGAGAAAGAUAUACUAUGCUAACACUAAUAAAGGGAAGUGGGAAUAAGUAUACUAUUUUCAUACAGAGCAUACUUCAAAGUGAGGAAAGUUGUAGAGGAUAAAGAGGAAUAUUACAUAAUGAUAAAGAAAUCAAUAUUCCAAGAAAACAGAAUCUUCAAUGUUUAUACACCUAAAAAUAACAUCAAAAUAUGUAAAGCAGAAACUAAUAGAACUGUAAGGAAAAACAGAUGAAUUCACUGUUGUCACUAGAGACUUUAACACCUUCUAUCAGAAAUAGAUCUAGCAGAUAGUCCACAAGGACAUAGUUGAACUCAAUAUCAAUCAACUAGAUAUAAUUGAUAACUAUAAACUCCUUUAUCUAACAACAGUAGAAUAUACAUUAGUCUCAAAUGUAACAGUGAACAUUCACCAACUGUUAUUAGUCUAUUUUCUAUAGUUAUAACACAAUAGCUGAGGUUGAGUACUUUAGAAACAAAAGAAGUUUAUUUAACUCACAGUUUUGGAGGGUGAAAUUUCAAGAUUGGGUGGCCCCAUCAAUUAGGCCUCAUGGUGGAUGGCAACAUGUGGGAGGGCAUGUGAGAGGAAGAGAUCAUGUAACAAGACAGGAAGCAGAGUAUAGGGAAGGAUGCUUCUCACUCAUUGGUAAUAACCUUCUUUCACAGGAACUAACCCUAAAUGGAUGGAGUUGGAGGAAUAUCCUGCUAAGCAAAAUAAGCCAGUCCCGAAAAACAAAAGGCUGAAAUGUUCUCUCCGAUGCUGAUCCAUAAUGGCAGGGGGGCAUGGAAAAAAAUGGAGGAACCUUGAAUGGACAAAGGGGAGUGAUGGAAGGGGGCAUGGGGACAGGAAAGAUGGUAGAAUGAGUCAUACAUUAUUACCAUAUGUACAUGUAUGACUGCACAUAUGUUGUGAUGCUACAUUGUGUACAACUAGAGAAAUGAAAAAUUGUGCUGCAAUUGUGCACAAUGAAUCAAAAUGCAUUCUGCUGUUAUAUAUACCUAAUUAGAAUUAAUUAAUUAGUUAAUUAAAAAAAGAAUUAUGCUAAUCCCUUCCAAGGCCGGCAUCUCAAUGACCUAACUGCUUCCUACUAGGCUCUACCUGUUAAAGGUUUACCAUUUCCCAACACUGCUACACUAAGGACCAAGCUUUCAAUCCAUGAAUCCUUGGUAGAUAUACUAUCAAUUGCACCAAAUAGACCACAUUCUGCUACACAAAACACAUCUUAACAAUUAAAAUAUCAAUCAUGCAAUGCUUAUUCUAUGUAAUUAAACUAGAAAUCAGUAACAGAAAAUUAGAUGAAAAUCCCCAAAUAAUUGGAGAUUUAAAAAGAUUUAUUUAUGUAUUUAUUUUGAUACUUGGAAUCAAAGGACCUCACACAAACUAGACUACUUAUCUACUCAUGAGCUACAAUCAAUAUUCCAAGAAAACAGAAUCUUCAAUGUUUAUACACCUAAAAAUAGCAUCAAAAUAUGUAAAGCAGAAACUAAUAGAACUGUAAGGAGAAAAAGAUGAAUUCACUGUUGUCAAUAGAGACUUUAACACUCUCUAUCAAAACGGUCAGAUCUAACAGAUGGUCAAUAAAGACAUAGUUGAGAAGUGAACAGACACUUCUCAGAGGAGGACAUACAAUCAAUCAACAAGUACAUGAAAAAAUGCUCACCAUCUCUAGCUGUCAGAGAAAUGCAAAUCAAAACCACCCUAAGAUACCAUUUCACUCCAGUAAGAUUGGCAGCCAUUAUGAAGUCAAACAACAACAAGUGCUGGAGNGGAUAGGAAAGGUAGCAGAAUACAACAGUUACUAAUAGGGCAUUAUGUAAAAAUGUGGAUGUGUAACCGAUGUGAUUCUGCAAUCUGUAUUUGGGGUAAAAUUGGGAGUUCAUAACCAACUUGAAUCUAAUGUAUGAAAUAUGAUAUGUCAAGAGCUUUAUAAUGUUUUGAAC